rnacentral:lncRNA from 1 species
UUAGAACAGGUGUUCUAUAAACCGUAAAUGAAUAAAUGUACACUUAUAGCAGAUUUCAUCAAAAUUUAUUCAAGUUUAUUCAAAUUUGAGAAAGAAUCCCACCCGUUAAGUGUACAGGCUUCCAUUUUGUUUCAAAUUAAGACACAUAUUAAACUUAAGGUAGAGUGUCUUUUAGUAAAUUUCAUCAAAAUCAGUCAACUGUUUCACGAACACAGCAAAAUAAGUCAAUGCUAUGUUGGGUAUCAAGAAGUAAAACCAUUGUUCUUCCAUAUCCUUGCAAGAUAUUCUUAAAACCUUUGGUAGUUCAGUAUGGAUAAGUGUAGCACACACCUCUCAUACAUCGUAUCCCAUUUCACCAGUUCAUAUCUGAUUUCUGCUGCAAUUAGAAAGGACUGUUCAAGGAGUUCCUGUCAUGGCUCAGUGGUAACUAAUCUGACUAGCAUCCAUGAGCACGCAGGUUUGAUCUCUGGCUUUGCUCAGUGGGUUAAGGAUCCAGUGUUGCAGUGAGCUGUGGUACAGGUCACACAUGCGGCUUGGAUCUGACAUUGCUGUAGCUGUGGUGUAGGCUGGCUGCUGCAGCUCCAGUUUGACCCAUAGCUUGGGAACUUCCAUAUGCUGUGGGCGUGGCCCUCAAAAGACAAAAAAAAAAGGAACUCUUCAGUCUGGUAUUUGCCCUCUACCUUCUGCCUCUGGGAGCCCUCUAGCUAGGCUGCAAGCUAGGAAGUGCAGGCCUUUACUGUCCCUAGGGGACCACUCAGCCAGCGGAUGAAGAGUCUGUGAAUGCAUCAGCCACCCAUCUUUAAGACAUUCUGAACAACUUUCAGGUGGUGUGGAAAAUUGAGUCCCUAUUUUCCACAUCUGUGUAUUUGGUAUUGGUUUUUUUUUUUUUUUCUUUUUAGGGCUGCACCCAUGGCAUGUGGAAGUUCCCAGGCUACGGGUUGAAUUAAGAGCUGUAGCUGCUGGCCUACACCACAGGCAUAGCAACGUGGGAUCCGAGCCACAUCUGUGACCUACACCACAGUACACGGCAACACUGUAUCCUUAACCCACUGAGUAAGGCCAGGGAGCGAACCCAUGUCCUCAUGGAUCCUAGUCAGGAUCAUUAACCACUGAGCCACGAAGGGAACUCCUGGUUUUGGGUCUUUAUAUUGGUCUUUUCCUUCUCUUUCCCUCCCUGUUGCUUCCUAGACUCAUCUUCUUCACCCAAGUCCUUGUCUCAGUCUCUGCAUACGGGGGACCUAAACUAAGAUAGUAAUACAUACUCUCUAUAUCUAGUCAGUUAAAUAAAUCAGCCUGCCUAGGUAGGUUAGUUUGCUCUUAUUUCAAAGUGAAUAUUUUAACUUUUUAAAAAUUUUCAGCCAGUUACUGUGUACCUAUUAUGUGUUCAACACUAUACCUAGAUUUGUGAGAGAGCACAAUGAAAAAAAUCAUGAAGUUUGCCCUCAGAAGAUCAGGUUUCAGUCUUUGCUUUUCUGUACACUGUCUAGUACCUGCAAAAUUGCUUAAAUUCCCUAAACCUGACCUAUAGAAUAAGCAAAAUAAUAAUAAUGCCUCUUUCUGAGGAAAGGGAAAAAUAUUGCCAAUAUUUAAUUAACCAUGAUAGUAUAACACAUGUGGUCUAAACUAUAAAGUAUAUUAUAUAACCAUAGAACAUUAUCUGGUGUUGGUUUCUCCCUCUUGUGAAGGUUGUAAAUGCAUUGAAGCCAUGGAAUAUAUUUUAUAUUUUUCUAAUCCUCAGAAAUACAUAACAGUACUGGGUAUAUAUGAGUCAAUUAAUAAAUUAUAUAUUAGCAAAAAAUAUGCAAUUGUUGUCUGGAGAAGUGACACAACUGGGGUGCUCACUUUUCAUUUCAAGUUACUUGUAGAUAUGUUUUCUAGGCACCUGAUUUUUAUGCUAAAUAAAAUAGUAUAUUAGUUUCAUAGUUGUAAAUGAUUGUAUGUGUGUAUGUGAAAUAGAGAGAAAGAGGGAGAAAUGGGGAAGGGGGGAAAACAGAGACAGAGAGAAAAUCGGUCCAAGAAUGGCUAUUUAUCUUUACCCAAAAAUUGUAUCUUUAGUGACAAGAAGAUUCUAUAGAGGUGGGAGAUGAAUGGUAGCAUGCAGAAUAAAUCUACUAAGUGUUAAUCCGUUUCAAGAAUGAGUUCAAAGCAACUAAAUCAAGGCUCAACCUCGAAAUUUGAGCAAAUUGAUUUAGAUGGUUAUUCCAAGAAAGCAAGCAAACAAAGGCCAGUGGGAUAGAGGUUGAGUAUAAACAUUUGUGCUCUUACAAUAAUGUGACCUCAGUAAAUUUUUCAAAGUUUUCUCCAAAUAACUUGGAAUUUCCAAAGGACCCUUAUGCAGUACAUCUGGAAAUAACCAAAAACUAGAAAUGUGGUUCUUUGUUAUGGAAAAUAAACUGAAAGUAAUACUAAUCAAUUUUCACAGAAAAUGUCUUAAAUCAUUUCUUCCUGCCUAAUGGGUUUAUCUUUGUGGUCUACCCUCUCUAGUUGUGGGAACAGGUUAUAUACCUGGCUGAGAUCUUUAGACCAGAGUUAGAUCCAGGCUUUAGAAGUAAUGGGAAUGGGGGAGUUCCCGUCGUGGCGCAGUGGUUAACGAAUCCGACUAGGAGCCAUGAGGUUGCGGGUUCGGUCCCUGCCCUUGCUCAGUGGGUUAACGAUCCGGUGUUGCCGUGAGCUGUGGUGUAGGUUGCAGACGCAGCUCGGAUCCCGCAUUGCUGUGGCUCUGGCGUAGGCCGGUGGCUACAACUCCGAUUCAACCCCUAGCCUGGGAACCUCCAUAUGCCGCGGGAGCGGCCCAAGAAAUAGCAACAACAACAACAACAACAA